UACAGAGGGUGCAAGCGUUGUUCGGAAUUACUGGGCGUAAAGGGCUCGUAGGUGGCCAACUAAGUCAGACGUGAAAUCCCUCGGCUUAACCGGGGAACUGCGUCUGAUACUGGAUGGCUAGAGGUUGGGAGAGGGAUGCGGAAUUCCAGGUGUAGCGGUGAAAUGCGUAGAUAUCUGGAGGAACACCGGUGGCGAAGGCGGCAUCCUGGACCAAUUCUGACGCUGAGGAGCGAAAGCCAGGGGAGCAAACGGG
rnacentral:rRNA from 1 species